AGAGCGAACGCUGGCGGCAGGCCUAACACAUGCAAGUCGAGCGCCCGUAGCAAUACGGGAGCGGCAGACGGGAUAGUAACACGUGGGAACGCGCCCUUCGGUUCGGAAUAACUCAGGGAAACUUGAGCUAAUACCGGAUACGCCCUUACGGGGAAAGAUUUAUUGCCGAAGGAACGGCCCGCGUCCGAUUAGCUAGUUGGUGGGGUAAUGGCUCACCAAGGCGACGAUCGGUAGCUGGUCUGAGAGGAUGACCAGCAUCACUGGGACUGAGACACGGCCCAGACUCCUACGGGAGGCAGCAGUGGGGAAUAUUGGACAAUGGGCGCAAGCCUGAUCCAGCCAUGCCGCGUGGAUGAUGAAGGCCUUAGGGUUGUAAAGUCCUUUUAACGGGGAGAUAAUGACGGUACCGUAGAAUAAGCCCCGGCUAACUUCGUGCCAGCAGCCGC
rnacentral:rRNA from 1 species